AGCGAACGCUGGCGGCAGGCUUAACACAUGCAAGUCGAACGCCCCGCAAGGGGAGUGGCAGACGGGUGAGUAACACGUGGGAACGUACCCUUUGGUUCGGAAUAACUUGGGGAAACUCAAGCUAAUACCGGAUAAGCCCUUAUGGGGAAAGGUUUACUGCCGAAGGAUCGGCCCGCGUCGGAUUAGCUAGUUGGUGAGGUAAUGGCUCACCAAGGCGACGAUCAGUAGCUGGUCUGAGAGGAUGAUCAGCCACGCUGGAACUGAGACACGGCCCAGACUCCUACGGGAGGCAGCAGUGGGGAAUAUUGGACAAUGGGGGCAACCCUGAUCAAGCCAUGCCGCGUGAGUGAUGAAGGCCUUAGGGUUGUAAAGCUCUUUUACCCGGGACGAUAAUGACUGUACCGGGAGAAUAAGCCCCGGCUAACUUCGUGCCAGCCGCCGCGGUAA
rnacentral:rRNA from 1 species